ensembl:lncRNA axoneme-associated protein mst101(2)-like
CUCCCAGGCAGUAUGCCUGGAAACCAUGCUGGCAACAGAAUCAUAGGCCAACCAAGUAAGUUCUCCUAGCUCUACAUUUGGUAAGGUUCCAACAUCGGGGAAAGGCAUUCCACAUCUAUUACACCCCACCACCUUUAUUUUUUUCCCCAGGUGGAAGGUGAGGCUUGCUGGAUGCAAUCCAAAAUUUAUCUAGAACAUAUUUACAUUUCCCAAUGCAACCAGUCUGAAACUUCCAAUUAUUGUGGAAUCUUUAGAAUUUGGUUGGUUCCUUUUGUUAGCAGUUAUAAGGUACAAAAUAAGCCAGCAACAACACAGGGAAAGCAUGAAGGGAGUAUAGUUUAAAAUCCCAGCUCCAGCUCAGCCCCUUAUAUAUAAGAAAUCAUUCUACAACUAGCUUAAGGUAGAAAAAGGAGAAAACUUUACUUACAGUUGAUCUUGAGUUACAAUCAGAAGAGUAGAAAGGGAUAAAAAAGAAAGACUGGGUUGCUCAAUCAUCUCAAGAGGGAGAAAUCCCUGAGGACCACAUGAUCCCUCUUCAGAUUUCAAAGGUUGUGAGCAGAUUUAAGGAAAUCACAUUCAGCACCCUAGACAAUACAGUACAAAAAAAGAGCAGAUUGAUCCUCCAUUACAUCAGAGCCUGCAUUGGCUGAUGUUCUAUGGCAUGAUUUUCAGUGAUGUUAUUUGCUUCUCCAAACCCUUCAGCUCCCAUCAAAAUGUACAAAGAGUUUCAGAAGGCUGGAUCGGGUUCUUCCACAGAAGAAUCCUACGCUGCGAUGAUUGUGCCAUUAUUUGUGGAGAACAUGGUCAGAAACAUCCCCGGCAAGAUGAGAUUCACUCAGGCACAUGCUCUCUUCAAGAGAACUAUCAAAUGGAAUAAAGUGAUCCCGAACCGGCCUGCCCUGGCGAAGAUUGUCGUAGAAGGAUCCAUAGCUUUCAUCUUUGCUGUUCUAAUCGGGAUCGUACUGUGGUGCGUGCUGUAUUCAAAAGGGGAAAAAAUUAAGCAUUUGGGCCCUCGCCUCAAGCCCGUGGUAAAAAAAAACUUCUUUCUGAGACAAAUUAAGAAGCAGAAGGAAGCCGGCAUAAAGAAGCUGAUGAAAAAAAAGCAGCUUGAGAAAAGCCUCAUUGAGACAGAGAAGGAGGAAGAAUGGAAGCAAGCACAUGAGCUGGGAAAGGAAAAGGAGGAAGAUUCUGAGGAAUCUGAUGAGGAAGAAGAAUCAGUUGUGGAAGAGAAAGGGAAGAAGAAGAAGAAGAAAGGGAAAAGGCAUGCAAUAAAAAAGAAAUUGGCCAAGGUUAAGAAGGCUGCAAAAUCAGAGAUGGUCCAAAAGCAUGUUGGCAAAAUCAAGAAGGUGGCAAAAUCCAAGGCUGUUAAGAAGCAUGUUGGCAGAAUCAAGAAGGUGGCAAAAUCAAAAACUGUUCGAAAACAUGUUGGCAGAAUCAAGAAGGCAGCGAAAUCCAAGGCUGUUAAGAAGCAUGUUGGCAGAAUCAAGAAGAUGGCAAAAUCAAAAGCUGUUCAAAAGCAUGUUGGGAAAAUUAAGAAGGCCGCAAAAUCAGGAUACACUGGUAAAAUUAAGAAGGAGGGGAAACCAGAGGCUGCUCAAAAGCCUGCUGGGAAAAGCAAAAAGGCAGCCAAAUCCGAGUCAGAGGAAGAAGCAAAAUCAACUUCUGAUAGGGAAAGUAAGAAGCCAAGAAAGAAAAAGGAGAAAGAAAUGGAGAUGAUUAUGGUGAAGGAAGAUGAUAAGAGGACUCACGGGAAAAAGAAGGAACUCGGGAAGGCAAAAUUAGAAGACACUGACUCUAAAGAAAAGAAGAAGAGCCAGAAGAAAAGGGAACGAAGCCCACAAAGAAAAGCAAAACACAAGAAGAAGAGGCGACGAGAAUUGGAGGAGUCUGAGGACACUGAUUAGCAGAGAGGAAGGAUGGAACUGGAUCAGGAAAGGGACUCUGGAGAGGAGGUAGUGCCAUCCGAGGUGGAAAAGAGACUCGUUGAAUGCAUAUACUUUUAGGGCUUACGGUUAGCCUGGUGACUGGUGUGAAGAAAAGAGAGGUGAUUUUCCAAGCCUUUUCUCUCCUCUUGGUAAGAAUGCUCUCCUGCCCCCUAGUGUUAAGAUUUAAUACAACAUGUUGAAAUGGGCAUCAAAUAUCGCUGUCUGUACCUUAUCGUUUUGAAAUGGGGAAGGGGGAUCUCUUUUCAAUAGUGAGAGGCAUGGCUUCUCCAGGAAACGUGACUGUUUUUCAGAGCACCUCGAGGUUUCCAUAGCUUCGCCUUGAAUUUCUGCACCUACAGGGGAAAAAAGCUAACUUAAAUUAAAACAAGUUGCAACAAAGAAUAACAAGAUGAUGGGUCGCAUACCCCAAAAGCAGUCGAGAAGGAACACUAGGUGGUCAAUCCGUGUACAUUCCCAUGGCA